UACCCCCAUGUUCCGACAGAGCAUUAAUCUAAGACUAUCAAGUAAUCAACUGCUAAAGACUAGGAUUUGACAAGCCACCUUCCAAAAACGACCUCGUUUCAUUCCCACCUGAACAAACACAACUCAAAAAACUCUUCCCCUCUAAAGGUUUCAGAUAAACUUGAAGCUUAAAAAAUUUAUUUUUAGACAAAAAAAAAAAAAGACAAAUGGUCAGUUUAUUUCCUUCUCAAAAAAAAAGGGUCAGUUUAGUUGGUUGAGUUCUAAAACGAACUGAAAACAAAAACAAAGAAGUUUUUGUUGCUCCACUUUCAGAUUUGAGAUCUUCAAGUUCUUUGUUCUUUCCCACUGAAGAACGAAAUCCCAUGUAAGCUUCCUUUUGAUCCGAACUAUUUGACAAUGACAGAAGAUGACAAUCCAUGAACAGGGCUACAUAUUUAGUUACAAUUAUUCCUUAUGAAAUGGAUAAAAGAAGAGUCCUAUGGUUUUACAGCCCUCUUACUUUAAUUUAGCUUAAAUUUGUUGAAAAUGAAGAAGUGGUCUGGAGGCAUGUGUAUCGUGGCUCUUGCAGUGAUCUUGGUUCUCCGUUACAGCCUUAUAGGAAUCCAGCCACAGAAGCAGUCAGCAUAUGAUUUCUUUAGAAACCAUCCAACCAGUGAUUCUCAAAUGAAGGACAGUGGCACCGUUAAAAAAGUAUCAAAGCCGUUAAAAAAGCCCCCUCUUAAAGAUAUUGAAGGACUCAGUGAUCUGUAUGCUUCUAAAAAUAUUUCUGAGGAAGAAUCAAAGGCCCUGCUUGUAUGGGCUCACAUGCGUAUGCUACUUUCCAGGAAUGACACUUUUCCUGAAACAGCUGAUGGAGUCAAAGAGGCUUCCAUAGCAUGGAAAGAUUUACUCUCCACAAUUGAGAAGGAAAAAGCCUCCAAGUUUAGCAACAGUAACAACUCCAACAAUAAAAAUUGUCCUUACUCUGUUAGUACACUUGAUAAGACAGCAAUGAGUGAUGGAGUCAUUCUUGAGCUCCCUUGUGGUCUAGUUGGGGAUUCUUCAAUUACUUUAGUUGGCAUUCCCAAUGGACAAAAUGGAAGCUUUCAAAUUGAACUCGUAGGAUCGCAACUUUCUGGGGAGCCAACACCUCCUAUUAACUUGCAUUUCAAUGUUAGUCUUCCUGGAGAUAAUAUGACAGAGGAGCCAUUUAUAGUUCAGAAUACAUGGACUAGUGAAGCUGGUUGGGGCAAAGAGGAAAGAUGUCCUGCUCAUGGUUCUGCUAGCAUCAUCAAAGUUGAUGGACUUGUUCUUUGCAAUGAACAAAUUGCCAGGAGCAGUGUGGAAGAUAAUCUGAAUGUAAGUCAUCCUACAAGUGACAUGUUUACAAAUGGUUCCAGGGAAAGUGCCCAUGGAAGUGUGAGUUUCCCAUUUGUUGAAGGGAAUCCCUUCACUGCCACAUUGUGGGUUGGUCUGGAGGGCUUUCAUAUGACCAUAAAUGGGAGGCAUGAAACGUCUUUUGCAUAUAGGGAGAAACUUGAACCAUGGUCAGUUAACAGAGUCAAAGUGGCGGGUGGUUUGGAUCUCUUAUCUGCCUUGGCUAAAGGCUUACCUGUUUCUGAAGAUAAUGAUUUGGUUGUUGAAGUAGAGCACCUCAAAGCUCCGUCAGUUUCAAGAAAACGACUUAUAUUGUUGAUUGGGAUUUUCUCUUCGGGAAAUAAUUUUGAGCGUCGUAUGGCACUGAGGAGGUCUUGGAUGCAAUAUGAGGCUGUUCGCUCUGGGGAUGUAGCUGUUAGAUUUUUCAUUGGCCUUCACAAGAACAACCAAGUCAAUUAUGAGCUAUGGAGAGAAGCUCAAGCAUAUGGGGAUAUCCAGUUGAUGCCCUUUGUUGAUUAUUACAGCUUGAUUGCUUUGAAAACAGUUGCAAUUUGCAUCUUUGGGACCAAAAUCCUCCCUGCCAAAUUUAUCAUGAAAACAGAUGAUGAUGCUUUUGUUAGGAUUGAUGAAGUUCUCUCUAGCCUCAAGGGAAAGGCACCUAAUGGACUCUUGUAUGGUCUUAUUUCUUUCAAAUCAGCACCCCAUAGGGAUAAAGACAGCAAAUGGUAUAUAAGCACUGAGGAAUGGCCACCUGCUUCAUAUCCACCAUGGGCCCAUGGUCCAGGAUACAUUAUCUCUCGGGACAUUGCAAAAUUCAUUGUUCGUGGUCACCAUGAAAGAGAGCUUAAGCUUUUUAAACUAGAAGAUGUUGCAAUGGGCAUAUGGAUUGAACAAUUCAAGAAAAGUGGCCAAGAAGUGCAUUACAUCAAUGAUGAUAGGUUUCACAAUGCUGGAUGUGAACCAAAUUAUGUUCUGGCCCAUUAUCAAGGCCCGAGGAAGGUGCUAUGCCUUUGGGAGACGCUGCACAAAGAGCACCAGGCCCUUUGCUGUGAGUAAAUAUCAACCUUAGCGACACAGGAACCCCCCUUGACGAGCUCAAACUCUUCACUGUAAAGACAAAGUAAAAAGCAAUCCGGCAACCAGAAAUUGAAUUGCAGUUCACGCAACUAUUGAUAUUUUUCUCCAAUUCAUGCUCCUGGUGACAUGCUAUACAAGUGGAACCAUUCAGAUAUUCUUUGGUGCAACUAGGAUGAACUAAGUUUGUCCUCUCUUUUUUUAUCUUGUCAAUGUUUAGUACAUGAAAGCGUGCCAUUGAUUACAAAAACAAGUUGAAAGAGUUUGUUGUUUGACCUCUUUUGGUUCUAUUUUUGUAGAAUAAUAAUAGCCUUUUGGUCUGUCUUUUCUUCUGAAAAGUACAAGGUAGUGGAUUUAUUUUUAAUAAUGUGCUUUAUAUAUAUACAUACAUAUAUAUAUUAGAGGUAAUGGAUUUAUAUUCCAAAUUUCCAAUUCUAAUAAUCAUAGAACAUUGAAGGCUUACAAAUCAUAGAACAUUUAAGCCAACCGAAAACCAUUUGAGCGAUUGGUCUGAGCCGUGUAACGUGCACCAUCCAGUUUGUGUAAUGAUUAAUAUGUCUCUCUCUCUCUCUCUUCAUAUAUCGAUGAAGAACAUGUGUGAACAUAUUCCA